UACGUAGGGUGCGAGCGUUAAUCGGAAUUACUGGGCGUAAAGUGUGCGCAGGUGGCCGCGCAAGUCGAGUGUGAAAUCCCCGAGCUUAACUUGGGAAUUGCGCUCGAAACUACGUGGCUCGAGUGUGGCAGAGGAAGGUGGAAUUCCACGUGUAGCGGUGAAAUGCGCAGAUAUCAGGAGGAACACCGGUGGCGAAGGCGGGUCUCUGGGCCGAUAUCGACGCUGAGGAGCGAAAGCGUGGGGAGCGAACAGG
rnacentral:rRNA from 1 species